rnacentral:tRNA from 1 species
GAGGGUAUAGCUCACGUGGGCAGAGUGUAUGCUUAGCAUGCAUGAGGUCCUGGGUUCAAUCCCCAGUACCUCCU